GUCUUGCCCGGGAUUUCCCGGGACAAAAAUCCCGGGAUAUCCCGGGAUCUGAAAAAUCCCGAAUCCCGGGAUAUGUUACCUGAAUUCCCGGGAUUUCCCGAAAAUUUGAAAAAUGGCAAAAGUGCGGCGUCUGAAAACAUAACUAUUCACUUUAAAUUUUGUUAAUCAAUGUUGUAUUCGAUUCUACAUUACCUAACAAGUGCACUGGCCAUCUUUUUUUUUUUUUUAAACAGAAAUCAAGUUUUGGUAGAGAUUUUUAAAAAUAAACAUACAUAUUUUUUGGUAAAAUAUCAGAAUGUGUAUUUUCUAGAUUUAUUGAUAAUAAUUGGGCUGUUCUGGUAGUAUUCGUGGAAUUAAUAUAAUGAUUCAUUGCAUUGUUUUCAGUAUUAGAGUUUGUUGAAAUUUUUUUCACGAAAUAUAUGUAUUUUUUUUUUAUCUGUAAUAAUGAGAUUUUUUGCCCUAGGUUAGCUCAUCUCGGGACCCACGCUUUCCGAGUAAUAACUCAGGUGUGAUAGUCAGGUGCUUCAACCAUCACACCAAGUCCGUUCCAUAUGUGUAAUAUUUUCAAACGGAACUAUUGCAGAAUUAUCUAGGGAUAUCUUGAAUCCUUGUAGCCAUUUCUGACAGACCUAUUCAGGAAGUCUGAUGCUUAAGAAGGGUGUAUUACUAAAGUGCUACAUUACACCUUUUCUUAUUAUCUGGAUAAUUUUUUAAGAAUAAUCCAUUCAUGUUUUCAUGAGCAAUUACUUGGCACAUUUUCAGAAUACAUUCGAUACGCGCGAGAUAGUCGCCUAGGAAAACAGACUUGUUUUCAAAUUUUCAAUCAUAGCGCUCUUUGAUAAUUGUUGAAAAAAGGUCGCCACAUAGCCAGGUGAUGUGUUGAGUACUGCGACCGCACGUGACAUUUGCAUUGCGAUUGAAUUUGGUUCACCAUUGAGGGCCCUGGAAAAUAGUCAUCAUAGUUGUCCUUUUCAUGCAACGCACAAUAAUUUCCUCUAGGAAUAUAAAUCGCCAGCAGUUAACAAAAUUUCCACCUUGGACUGAUGUAUGUCCUACACUCUUAAAAUGUUCAAGAUUUUGAGUUUUGCUCUAGAAAUUUCAUCGUCAAAAAAGUUCCAGCUACGCAAAUAUCUAAAUCAUUUUUUCCUUUGAAGAAUAAAUAUGGGGCGGAUGCAUAGCCUAAGUAAUAAUAAAAAAACAAUGUGUUGCCUCUGGGCACACUGCUCCGAAUCAAACGAACGGAGUGUCGUCGACGCUUAACGAUGGCCUUGACAGGUCAAAAGCAGAUGAGGUCGAUGACGAGGCAAAAGCAUUGAAACCGGCAUGCAGAGAAGACUAGGAGCUAUAGUUAAACGUGAAAUUGCCUCAAAAGAUCAAAAUUAUUAAAUCCUAAUGAUUGAAUUUGAUAUUCUAUCUAGCCUAAAGUGAAUUCGUUAUCCUACAUUAAUCAAACAGUGAGCUCGAGAAUUUGUUAUACUAGUUGGUAAUGAAAUACUAAUUGAAAUCGCAUUUCUAUAAAAUAGGUUAGAAUCUGCAAGUUAGAGUUCUACAUAUUGAAGUCGUGAACUACUAUUACUUUAUUCAAUUAGGUAAAGUGCUAGGUAAAAAUAAUCAUGCAAAUAGUUCUAGAUUAGCUAACGAUACUUUGAUUGCAGUUAAAGCUAAUCCAAUUAGUUGUGUCGGGCAAGGAGGCUGCAAAAACUCCGCCAGUACACCGAAAGUGUAAGUCGCAGUGUAAUUGUAGGCAAACGCUAUAUUCUAAUAAAUUAAUCUUAUUGCAGUUUAAAGCUGCGCUAAACCCAAGUACUGCGUGACGCUGCUAACAGCCCGGUGACAGCAUACCCUUGCCCUCUUACAACACAUCUUUAAAACUUUCGAUAUGAGUACUCAAUCGAAGAAUAAGCUCCUGAUAUCGUCGGAUCCAAUACGAGAGGGAGGCUGCGUCAGCUGUUCGCGCCCCGAUUCGUACGACGAUUUCGUACAGUGUGACCAGUGUGACAGCUGGUGGCACAUGCGCUGUGCGGGAGUCACAAAAUCAAUAUCGCAGCGGCCGUGGACCUGCCGCACUUGCCUACCAUUAAGCGUAGCAUCCAGCAGCAGCUCAGCUCGUAUUUCGCUCCGGCUGAAACAAAUCGAGGAAGAGCGCGCUAUACAGCAGCGCGAAUGGGAGGCAGAAAAACGAGCUCUCGAGAACGAGAGAAAGGCCAUGCAGGAGAAAUAUAAACUGCUGGAGGAUCAGCUCGCUGAAAGAGAAAACGCCACCCGGCGUAGCCAAGUUAGCCGACCAUCGAGCAUGAGGCGUGUUAGUGCUUGGGUCGAAAAUCUUGUCGAAAGCCAGGAAGUCGAGGGUGCAGUUGGUGGAGUGGUCAUCGGCGUAGCGUCAGAAGCAGACCAAGAUGUUCUACGUGAAGAAGCCGAAGAAGCAACGCCGUCAACCGUCGGCCGCACCGCUGACGUCAUUCAACGAUCGGAGAAGCCGGUGCACCCGAAUCAACUGAACGUCCCCAUGCAACUAGUCUCUUCUGACUCGUCGCCCCAGGAUGGAAAUCAGCAGCAAAACAAAGGCGCGAUUCCAAAAAUAGUUCCGAAUAGUUGUGAACCGAUCCGCGAUGGUAAUGUAUGGACAGCUAAAGGUAAUUUCACAUCCUCUGUACCCCCCGUACUACAUCCAGGUAAGCCAACCAUUGUUCCAAAGCCAAAAGAUAAAAUUUCCGCUCAAACGAGCGACGAUGCAUAUAAAGAUUUGCUAGCAAAAUUAGGGUCAAUUGGUGUGUCUCCUAUUGUCCAGAGCGCACCACAAGUUUUUGCAACAGAGCCCAUAAUACAAGGGCAUGUUUACCCUACCGUUCCGCUUCCUUUAACCAUGGGAGAGAACGAAUCUUGCAUUGCUCAUAGAGCAAAUACAGAUCCACAUGUUACUAACAUGCAGUCAAUCGCGCCUUCCCCGUCAAUAGUACCCAACGUAACCGAGCAAGCCCCUUCCCCCUCGCAGUUAGCCGCGCGUCAGGUAAUGCCUCGCGACUUACCGAUGUUCUCCGGUGAUCCCGCGGAGUGGCCUAUCUUCAUAAGUGCGUUCGAAAAUACUACCGUCGCGUGUGGCUAUUCUAAAGUGGAAAACCUUGCGAGACUUCAACGGUGCUUGAAAGGUGCAGCAUACGAAUCUGUUCGAAGCCGUCUCUUGUUACCAGAAUCAGUACCACAAGUGUUAAGUACUCUGCGUCUUUUGUACGGCCGACCGGAACUGCUUAUUAAUGUUCUUUUAAACAAACUGCGGUCAACCCCAGCGCCGAGAUCUGACAAACUAGAGACGCUCAUCGAGUUUGGUCUGGCUGUGCAGAGUUUGUGUGACCAUCUUGUAGCAGCAGGACAGCAGCCUCAUCUGACGAAUCCCUACUUGUUGAUGGAGUUGGUGGACAAGCUACCUGCGCACGUGAAAAUGGAUUGGGCGAGUUACAUGCAGAGAUAUCCCGAGGUGAACCUGAAGACCUUCAGCAACUUCAUGGAGGGCAUCAUGGUCGCGGCGAGCAAAGUUACGCUGUACACGAGUAGUUGCACCGAAAAAACAAAACCCAAACCCAGGACAUCUAUCAACACCCAUUUCAACGAACAGGAAUGGCCAAAGGACGAUGAAAGGAUUUGCUGCAUCUGUAAAAAUCGUGGACAUCGCGUUCGGGAAUGUGAUGCUUUCAAAGCGCUAUCCAUCAAUGAUCGCUGGAAAACAGUGCAAUUUCAUGAACUAUGUAGAAGUUGUCUUUGUGCCCACGGCAAAAGAAGUUGCCGAAAUGCUGCUCAGUGCGGUAUCAAUGGGUGUACCUUUCGUCAUCAUCCCCUGCUCCAUUCAAACCGAAGCGAGCCAGCUCCGCGUGAAGUAGAGACGCAGAACGUAGAAGCGGCGGGAAACCACACUCAUCGCCUGCUGAAUCAGUCACUACUGUUCCGAGUCAUUCCAGUGACGCUUUAUGGACCUCGAAAGGCAGUGACAACCUUUGCCUUCCUCGACGAUGGAUCACAGCUGACACUUAUCGACGAAGAACUUACUCGAGAACUUGGCGUUGAUGGUAGGAGUGUUCCGUUGUGCAUCACUUGGACCGGGAAUGUGUCCAGGAUGGAAGAAAAUUCGAAGCAGCUGCGGCUAGAUAUAUCUGGCGUGGAUAAGGGAAAACGUCUGAAUCUCGACGACGUGCGCACCGUGAAAAAACUGGCCCUGCCAGGUCAGACGCUUCGUCUAGACGACCUCAGAGACAGAUUUCCAUAUCUCAAUGGCUUACCAAUUUCAGGCUAUGAGAACGCUUUGCCACGUCUACUCAUUGGAGUCAACAAUCUGCACUUAACCGUCCCGCUGAAAGUUAAGGAAGGAAGUUUCAAUGAGCCGGUAGCUACUAAGACGCGGCUCGGGUGGUGCAUCUAUGGAGGAAAUGGCUCCUCCACGUCAAAUUCAGUCAACGUCCAUGCUUGUGAGUGCAACUGUGAUCGCAAUCUUCAUGAUCUGAUAAAGGAUUAUUUUAUCUUGGAGGAUGCCGGUGCAACAUCGACGAGUGAACCAGUUUCGGCCGAAAAUAAAAGAGCACAGGAACUUCUGCAGCAAACCACGGUCCGAGUCGGCGAUAGGUUCGAAACCGGGUUAUUGUGGAGAGAAGAGGAAAUCGAGUUUCCCGAAAGCUACGGAGCUGCGGUGCGAAGAUUGGAGUGUUUGGAGAGACGCAUGAAGAAGAAUCCGUCUUUAAAAGAUAACCUGGAACGUCAAAUCAACGAAUAUCAACAGAAGGGUUAUGCUCACCGUGCCAGCGAAAAGGAGUUACGAUCGGCAGACUUAAGAAGGGUCUGGUAUCUUCCUCUCGGAGCCGUAGUCAAUCCAAAGAAGCCGGAAAAGGUGCGUCUCAUUUGGGACGCGGCUGCUACGGUGAAUGGGGUAUCCCUCAAUUCCCUUCUGCUUAAAGGUCCGGAUCAGCUGACUUCGUUGUUAGCGGUUUUGGUACGUUUCCGGCAAUAUUCGGUAGCAGUCUCAGCGGAUAUUAAGGAGAUGUUUCAUCAGGUUAGAAUCCGUGAAGCCGAUCGUCAAUCCCAGCGAUUCUUGUGGCGAAACGAACCAUCAAGCAGUCCAGAUAUUUUUAUCAUGGACGUUGCAACGUUUGGAUCAACGUGCUCACCGGCCUCUGCACAAUAUGUGAAGAACAGGAAUGCAACGGAAUACGCGGAAGAAUUUCCAAGAGCUGCAGAGGAAAUCAUUCACAACCAUUACGUGGAUGAUUAUUUGGCAAGCUUCGAGACGGAGGCGGAUGCAGCAGAAACUGCGGAACAAGUAAAGUUUAUUCACAUCCAAGGUGGUUUCGAACUUACGAACUGGAACUCCAACAGUACUAUAGUACUGCAUCGAGUAGGAGCAGCAGAAGAUAAUGACCGGAAGCAUCUGUUUCUGGACAAAGGCAAUCAGUUUGAACGUGUUCUCGGAAUGCUGUGGUUAGUUGGCGAGGAUCAGCUUAGCUUCUGUACACAACUUAAAGAAGACGUACAGGAAAUCAUUGCGGGAAAUAUCGUACCCACGAAACGGCAGGUUCUACGUUGCCUAAUGAGCUUCUUCGAUCCUUUGGGCCUGUUGAGUUUCCUAUUCGUCCACGGCAAAAUUUUGCUGCAGGAUGUAUGGCGUGCCGGAAUACAAUGGGAUCAAACAAUCAGCAAUGAACAGUGGGAGCGUUGGCAGAAAUGGAUCGCGGUUCUUCGACAUGUAUCUACCAUACAGAUUCCCCGAUGUUAUUUCAUGAACGCCACGGCACAAUACUACAAGGAAGUACAGCUACACAUUUUUGUAGAUGCGAGUGAAGGAGCAUAUGCUGCUGUCGCCUACUUCCGGAUUAUCGACCUGAAUGGGGCACCAAGAUGCGCAUUAGUGGCGGCCAAAACCAAGGUGGCACCGCUUAAGCCGUUAUCGAUACCCCGUCUCGAGCUACAAGCGGCUGUUCUCGGGACCCGCUUAUUACACUUCGUUCUGGAAGCCCAUACCAUAACUGUAAAACAGCGAUACUUAUGGUCAGACUCCACAACAGUUCUGGCGUGGCUGAGAGCAGAUCCUCGAAAGUAUAAGCAGUACGUAGCAUGCAGGAUCGGUGAAGUUCUAAUGGAGACAGAUGCCAGCGAGUGGUGGUGGGUACCAUCAAAGUUGAAUCCGGCGGAUUUGGCAACAAAAUGGGGAAGCGGCCCCACCCUGGACGCUGAUGGGAUAUGGUUUAACGGACCUCCUUUUCUGUUGAAACCCAUCGAAGAGUGGCCAGCGCAGACUACACAUCAGCAAACAGUAGAAGAAGAACUACGUGCAUGUAAUAUGCAUUUGCAAGCCACACCAAUACCUUCAGUAAUUGACUACGAUCGAUUUUCAAGUUGAGAAAGACUCCAUAGAACUACAGCCUACGUACAUAGAUACAUUGCCAACUUGAAACGAACGUGUUACGGCAAGGCGAGGUUAAGCGGGCACUUGACUCAAGAGGAGCUACAGCAGGCUGAAGCAACGCUGAUACGAUUGGCACAGUGGCAAUACUAUCCCGAAGAAAUGUCGGUCCUUACACAGGAUCGUGAGCGUCCACCAUCCGAGCGAAAAGGUUUAGAGAUCAACAGUUCACUGUAUCGUUCUACGCCGUACAUUGACGAGUUUGGCGUUUUGCGGGUUGACGGAAGAAUAGGAGCGGCUAAGCAUGCGGAGGUGGGAAUGAAGUUCCCAUCCAUUCUACCAAGAAGUCAUCGCGUCACGAGUCUCAUACUUCAUGCAUUCCAUCGAAAGUUCAAGCAUGCCAACUUCGAGACGGUUGUGAACGAAAUUCGGCAGCUGUAUCAUGUACCUCGACUCAGAGUGACUGUCAAGAAGAUCAGCAGUGAAUGUUUGAUUUGCAAGUUGCGCAAAGCGGUUCCUCAGAUCCCACGGAUGGCCCCUCUUCCACCGGCUCGUCUAGCAACGUUUGCUAGGCCGUUCACCUACGUAGGAUUGGAUUUCUUCGGACCACUGGUGGUAAAAGUCGGGCGAGGUAAUGCAAAACGAUGGAUUGCUCUCUUCACUUGUUUGACCAUUCGAGCUGUACAUUGUGAAGUAGUUUGUAGUCUAUCGACGGAAGCUUGCGUAAAGUCUAUUCGCCGUUUCGUGUGUCGCCGAGGUGCACCGGCAGAAAUUUACUCAGACAACGGCACCAACUUCCACGGUGCCGAACGUAUAUUGAUGAAGCAAAUUCAGCAGGGAGUUGCUGCAACCAUAACAAGCACGACCACCAAAUGGUUCUUCAUCCCACCAGCGUCACCCCACAUGGGUGGGGCGUGGGAACGUAUGGUGCGUUCAGUUAAGCAGGCAAUGCUGGGCGCCUACAAUUCCGACAGGAAACUGGAUGAUGAAUCUCUUUUGACGUUUGUCUCUGAAGCGGAAAGCAUGGUCAACAGCCGACCACUCACUUAUCUCCCUCUGGACGCAGAGGAAACCGAAGCAUUGACUCCGAAUCAUUUUUUGUUAGGAAGCUCAAGUGGUGUACGACAGCCGGUUGUUGAACCAACUGACAACUCAGCCGCCCUCCAAAAUACUUGGCAUUUGAUCAACCAUCAACUAGACGGCUUCUGGAAACGAUGGAUCCGCGAAAUGUUACCGACCCUAACAAAAAGGACCAAGUGGUUUGGUGAAGUGAAGAUGGUUAGCACUGGAGAUUUGGUGAUGAUCAUAGACGACAGUAAAAGGAACAACUGGAUCAGGGGACGCAUAGUGGAGGUAAUCAAAGGAUGUGACGGACGAGUCCGUCAGGCGGUAGUAAGAACUGCAGGGGGCUUGCUGCGCAGAUCUGUCUCUAAGCUAGCUAUCUUGGACGUCCUGGCUAAUGGUAAAAUUGGAACCGGUGGCCAAUGUUACGGGGGGGAGGAUGUUGCCUCUGGGCACACUGCUCCGAAUCAAACGAACGGAGUGUCGUCGACGCUUAACGAUGGCCUUGACAGGUCAAAAGCAGAUGAGGUCGAUGACGAGGCAAAAGCAUUGAAACCGGCAUGCAGAGAAGACUAGGAGCUAUAGUUAAACGUGAAAUUGCCUCAAAAGAUCAAAAUUAUUAAAUCCUAAUGAUUGAAUUUGAUAUUCUAUCUAGCCUAAAGUGAAUUCGUUAUCCUACAUUAAUCAAACAGUGAGCUCGAGAAUUUGUUAUACUAGUUGGUAAUGAAAUACUAAUUGAAAUCGCAUUUCUAUAAAAUAGGUUAGAAUCUGCAAGUUAGAGUUCUACAUAUUGAAGUCGUGAACUACUAUUACUUUAUUCAAUUAGGUAAAGUGCUAGGUAAAAAUAAUCAUGCAAAUAGUUCUAGAUUAGCUAACGAUACUUUGAUUGCAGUUAAAGCUAAUCCAAUUAGUUGUGUCGGGCAAGGAGGCUGCAAAAACUCCGCCAGUACACCGAAAGUUUUAAAGCUGCGCUAAACCCAAGUACUGCGUGACGCUGCUAACAGCCCGGUGACAGCAUACCCUUGCCCUCUUACAACACAAUGUUUACCAUUUUUUUUAUAGCGAAGUUGUGAGUAUCGAAGAAUUGAACGUUUGUAUUAGUCGAGAAAAAUGUUACAGAAUUUGUUCCAUAUAUUUUUUGCCGGUUUUCGAAAAAUUUGGAUUUUUCCCGGGAUCCCGGGAAAUCCCGGGAUAUGAAAAAUAAAAAUCCCGAAUCCCGGGAUUUUUUUCAGUCCGGGAAACAAGAC